rnacentral:rRNA from 1 species
AAAGGGGCAACCUGGUAUGAGAUGGACUCGCGUCGCAUUAGCUAGUUGGUGAGGUAACGGCCCACCAAGGCGACGAUGCGUAGCCGACCUGAGAGGGUGAUCGGCCACAUUGGGACUGAGAUACGGCCCAGACUCCUACGGGAGGCAGCAGUGGGGAAUAUUGGGCAAUGGAGGAAACUCUGACCCAGCAAUGCCGCGUGAAUGAAGAAGGUCUUCGGAUUGUAAAGUUCUUUAGUCAGGGAAGAAGUCAAUGACGGUACCUGAAGAAUAAGCUCCGGCUAACUACGUGCCAGCAGCCGCGGUAAUACGUAGGGAGCAAGCGUUGUUCGGAAUGACUGGGCGUAAAGGGUGCGUAGGCGGUUGUACAAGUUAGAAGUGAAAUACCCAGGGCUUAACUCGGGUGCUGCUUCUAAAACUGUAUGACUUGAGUGCAGUAGAGGUUAGUGGAAUUCCUAGUGUAGCGGUGGAAUGCGUAGAUAUUAGGAGGAACACCAGAGGCGAAGGCGGCUAACUGGACUGCAACUGACGCUGAGGCACGAAAGUGUGGGGAGCAAACAGGAUUAGAUACCCUGGUAGUCCACACUGUAAACGAUGGAUACUAGAUGUAGGAGGUAUCGACUCCUUCU